rnacentral:rRNA from 1 species
UUUGUAUAAUGGGUCAGCGACUUAUAUUCAGUGGCAAGGUUAACCAUCUAGGGGAGCCGUAGGGAAACCGAGUCUUAACUGGGCGUUCAGUCUCUGGAUAUAGACCCGAAACCAGGUGAUCUAGCCAUGGGCAGGUUGAAGGUUGAGUAACAUCAACUGGAGGACCGAACCGACUAAUGUUGAAAAAUUAGCGGAUGACUUGUGGCUAGGGGUGAAAGGCCAAUCAAACCUGGAGAUAGCUGGUUCUCCCCGAAAGCUAUUUAGGUAGCGCCUCGGACGAAUACUACUGGGGGUAGAGCACUGUUAAGGCUAGGGGGUCAUCCCGACUUACCAACCCUUUGCAAACUCCGAAUACCAGUAAGUACUAUCCGGGAGACACACGGCGGGUGCUAACGUCCGUCGUGGAGAGGGAAACAACCCAGACCGCCAGCUAAGGUCCCAAAUUACUACUAAGUGGGAAACGAUGUGGGAAGGCUCAGACAGCCAGGAUGUUGGCUUAGAAGCAGCCAUCAUUUAAAGAAAGCGUAAUAGCUCACUGGUCGAGUCGGCCUGCGCGGAAGAUGUAACGGGGCUAAGUAGUAAACCGAAGCUGCGGCAAUGCACUUUAGUGCAUUGGGUAGGGGAGCGUUCUGUAAGCGGUUGAAGGUGUGUGGUAACGCAUGCUGGACGUAUCAGAAGUGCGAAUGCUGACAUGAGUAACGAUAAAGGGGGUGAAAAACCUCCUCGCCGGAAGACCAAGGGUUCCUGUCCAACGUUAAUCGGGGCAGGGUAAGUCGACCCCUAAGGCGAGGCCGAAAGGCGUAGUCGAUGGGAAACGGGUUAAUAUUCCCGUACUUCUUACAAUUGCGAUGGGGGGACGGAGAAGGCUAGGUGGGCCUGGCGACGGUUGUCCAGGUUCAAGUGCGUAGGCUGAAGAGUUAGGUAAAUCCGGCUCUUUCUAAGGCUGAGACACGACGUCGAGCAUCUACGGAUGUGAAGUCAUUGAUGCCAUGCUUCCAGGAAAAGCCUCUAAGCUUCAGAUUGUAAGGAAUCGUACCCCAAACCGACACAGGUGGUCGGGUAGAGAAUACCAAGGCGCUUGAGAGAACUCGGGUGAAGGAACUAGGCAAAAUGGUACCGUAACUUCGGGAGAAGGU